rnacentral:rRNA from 1 species
UAGGGAAUCUUCCGCAAUGGGCGAAAGCCUGACGGAGCAACGCCGCGUGAGUGAUGAAGGUCUUCGGAUCGUAAAACUCUGUUAUUAGGGAAGAACAAAUGUGUAAGUAACUAUGCACGUCUUGACGGUACCUAAUCAGAAAGCCACGGCUAACUACGUGCCAGCAGCCGCGGUAAUACGUAGGUGGCAAGCGUUAUCCGGAAUUAUUGGGCGUAAAGCGCGCGUAGGCGGUUUUUUAAGUCUGAUGUGAAAGCCAACGGCUCAACCGUGGAGGGUCAUUGGAAACUGGAAAACUUGAGUGCAGAAGGGGAAAGUGGAAUUCCAUGUGUAGCGGUGAAAUGCGCAGAGAUAUGGGGGAACACCAGUGGCGAAGGCGACUUUCUGGUCUGUAACUGACGCUGAUGUGCGAAAGCGUGGGGAUCAAACAGG